CGAGCGCAGGUGGUUUAAUAAGUCUGAUGUAAAAGGCAGUGGCUCAACCAUUGUGUGCAUUGGAAACUGUUAGACUUGAGUGCAGUAGAGGAGAGUGGAAUUCCAUGUGUAGCGGUGAAAUGCGUAGAUAUAUGGAGGAACACCGGUGGCGAAAGCGGCUCUCUGGACUGUCACUGACACUGAGGCUCGAAAGCGUGGGUAGCAAACAGGAUUAGAUACCCUGGUAGUCCACGCCGUAAACGAUGAGUGCUAGUUGUUUGGGGCUAUCCAGCCCUAAGUGACGCAGCAAACGCAUUAAGCACUCCGCCUGGGGAGUACGACUGCAAGGUUGAAACUCAAAGGAAUUGACGGGGGCCCGCACAAGCGGUGGAGCAUGUGGUUUAAUUCGAAGCAACGCGAAGAACCUUACCAGGUCUUGACAUACUCGUGCUAUUCCUAGAGAUAGGAAGUUCCUUCGGGACACGGGAUACAGGUGGUGCAUGGUUGUCGUCAGCUCGUGUCGUGAGAUGUUGGGUUAAGUCCCGCAACGAGCGCAACCCUUAUUGUUAGUUGCCAUCAUUAAGUUGGGCACUCUAGCGAGACUGCCGGUAAUAAACCGGAGGAAGGUGGGGAUGACGUCAAAUCAUCAUGCCCCUUAUGA
rnacentral:rRNA from 1 species